rnacentral:rRNA from 1 species
UACGUAGGGUGCGAGCGUUAAUCGGAAUUACUGGGCGUAAAGCGUGCGCAGGCGGUUAUGCAAGACAGAUGUGAAAUCCCCGGGCUCAACCUGGGAACUGCAUUUGUGACUGCAUGGCUGGAGUGCGGCAGAGGGGGAUGGAAUUCCGCGUGUAGCAGUGAAAUGCGUAGAUAUGCGGAGGAACACCGAUGGCGAAGGCAGUCCCCUGGGCCUGUACUGACGCUCAUGCACGAAAGCGUGGGGAGCAAACAGG